GUUGUUACAUGAGUGUCUUCCAUUCCAAGGAGGCUUGUUGCACUUGUUAUGAAAUAGGUGUGUUUCGAACUUGUUUUUACUUGCUUCAUCAAGCGAUCCGUCCUUAACUCGACACCUAGAUACUGACAUACUAAUUCAAGAAUGAAGGGACACGCCGUUUGCCCGUUCGAAAUCACCCAAAAUAUGUUCCAAGCGACCAACUCUCCGAGCUUCCUUAUCAAGACACAGUGAGAGUGAUUCUGGAAGAAAAUUCCCCAACCUUAUCCCAAGCAAGCUAUAUGAGCACUUGUUCCAAAAAUUCAUGAUGUGAUCAAGUGUAACAGUGACAAUAGAAUCCGUGCUAACGUUUAGCUCUUGGCUGAGGUUACACCUGACAGCGAAACACAAACACGUGAACAAGACCGUGUGCGUGAUCGGGUUAGUGAAUAGUGUAGAUAGAACAUCAUCCCAUUACUCAUUUCGGGUCUUGAACUCGAAGAUUCAUCGGAGAUCCAUGGUAUUUGUACUCCUGCAAACCGCUCUGCCCACGGAAUUUGACUUGAAGUCUUCUUGUCCAUGAGACACAUGAGAGAAAUUUGGAAAAGAACUGGUCCACACAUCUGAGCAAUCGGAUGGAUAUGCACCUUCUGUUAUGUAGCUCAUAGCACACCUAUACACAAACAUUUUUUUCGUAAUACGAAAAGGUGGUGCAAACUUUUUCAAAGGUCCCAAGUGUGGAUACAACAAAUUCUCUUCAUUUCGAGGCACUUGCGCAUCGACUCAACGACGAAGAACACCACCUACCAAGCAGCAAAAGUGACUUAACGUGGCCAAUAAUUGUGGAUCUCUGGACCAAUCCCUUGAACACGACGUAACCUGGGAUUAAGAUGGAUACAUGUACUGAAGCCACUAAAAGGGUCCCUGGUCAAAUAUCCUCCGACUGUUCGGGAGAAAAUGACGUUGAAACUUACAACUCUAAGCAAUUCCAAGUGGAACUCCUCAAACUUCACGCCAUCUUGCCCACAAACUGUCAUAUCAGCCUCAAACGUAUCCAAGAGGGUCUCUUGUCCGAAGAUUCUGUGUUACUAGUACAGACGGCCAUCCUGAGGUCAGCGGCUCAAUACAUCUUGGCACUUCAGGACCAGCUCAAAGACGAGGAAUGACUGCGGUUCUCCUUCCAAUCGAAAUUUUGUCCUCUGUGAUAUUUGUACAAGUUGGCUGAAUAAAGCAAUCCCAGGGGUAUGGUGGGCAGCUCCGGGAUCAUCGAGCAGAGUGUUUGACGCCCCCCCAUGCCGAAAGAAAGCCCAAAUGGGCGGCUUUUGUUCUAUCAAGUU